CCUUUCUCCAGACAUGAUCAAUGAAACUGGCGAGGGACUGACAUGAUCUAGCUUACCUUCUUGGGUCACCGAACGGAUUGGGUUUGUUUGUUCUUUCUCUACCCCAAGAAAAAGUCGCUAGCUACUGCAAGGUUUUGUUUUCAAACAAGAAACAGCAUGCCAAAAGAAAGUGCUGCGCCUACCUGAUGAGCAAGGGAAUAAUAUUCUUCUAGAAAACUUCUUGUAGUAGUAUCAAGUCUCCCCUUGAUUCUGAUAAACAUUGCGCGCUAAGUUUACACUUUAACGAGGAGGCCGUUUCCCCCUUCUGAAAAGGCAUGUGACAUAAUUAUCCCAGCGAUCACUAAAACUGUAAAUUUGGAUGCAAUUAAGAGAGAAAACUCCACACAUUUAUGGAAACUUAAGAGGAAUCUUCAUGUAUACCAGGCUGGCCUUGAGUUCACCAUGUAGCUCACUUCCUGAUCUCCAGACUUUACCUCUAAGUGCUGAUAUUUGAAUCCAAUGGCACUAAACUCGUGGAGUAGUUUUAAUCAAAAUUUGUUUUUUGUGCUUAUUAUCUUACAGUUUUUCUAUAAUAUUCUAAUAGAUCUCAAGAUUUGCCACAUCUUAGGCUAUCUUUGUACUAUUAAAUUGUAACAAUGAAAAAAUUGUCCGUUUUGAGACACAAAUGUGCUUCUGUGAGAGGCUGGCUAAGGCUAGGAACACAUUGAGAGCUAAAACUGUAUUGAAGAACUACCCAGAGAAGAAACACUUGAUGCAAUUUUUGACUCCUAAGCACAACACCAACUAUUGUGGGUGUCACAUAAUUUCUUACUCUUAUGCACUGUAUAAGGUUAAAAGCCAGUUUAAAAUUAUCACUAGUAAAUCUGUAAAAAAUAUUUUAUUAAAAUUCUCAACCAUAGUAUUUUCUUGUCUGAUAAAAUAAGAAGGUAUGACUAUUAUGGAAAUAUCAAUCAGAACUCUUGUGAUGAAGGUGUAUGAUUAACAACUUAUAGUUUCAUGAAACACAUUGUUUGUUAUUCAUUGAAUAGCUGGUUGGUAAACCAUGGUUAUUCUAAAUUAGGUAUCUAGUCAGACAAAAAAUGAUUAAAUAUCACCUGCCACUU
ensembl:processed_transcript